UACGUAGGGUCCGAGCGUUGUCCGGAAUUACUGGGCGUAAAGAGCUCGUAGGUGGUUUGUCGCGUUGUUCGUGAAAACUCACAGCUUAACUGUGGGCGUGCGGGCGAUACGGGCAGACUGGAGUACUGCAGGGGAGACUGGAAUUCCUGGUGUAGCGGUGGAAUGCGCAGAUAUCAGGAGGAACACCGGUGGCGAAGGCGGGGUCUCUGGGCAGUAACUGACGCUGGAGGAGCGAAAAGCGUGGGGAGCGAACAGG
rnacentral:rRNA from 1 species